UAUAUACAGAAAAGAAUCAGUGGAGAAUUGAACUUCAAAAGAACAAACAAGGUAGAUCUGAGUUUUUCUGGCGUCUGUCAGCUGGAGGAGGACUGUGGUCACAGGUGGUGUCACGCUGGUAUUCUCUGAAGUUGUUUGGCACAGAGUGUAGGGCACCAUUUCUUCUUUAAUGCAUUUGUCAAAAUUGCAUCCAAUUCUUUCACCAAUGCAGUCAAUAAUCUGACUUUUUCUUUCCCCCUCUUAUUUAUAUCUAUUUUAAGUACUUUUCUGAAUAAAUAGGUUGACGGAAAAAUUCACAGCAGGAGAUGGCUAUUUAAACAUAGAACAGAGAGAGGCAGGGAUGCAGGAGUCAUCUGUGCUUGGAAGUUUAUCACUGUUCUGAUGUUGAAGGACACUAUGCCAAGUGACCACACAGAGGGCAUGGUGUACUGCCUUGUCUAUGUCAUAUUUAACUUUGCCUGGGUCUUCACUACUUUGAAUGACUUUUCCCACAUUUCAUAAAAUGAUUCCUUCCAUGAAAAGUUUUAAGUUGAUGGAGAAGUUUAGGGGCUCCCAUUAUACCUGUUGCACACAUAUAUUUUAUCCUUUAUACAUUUUAGACUAAUGUUUGACCUGUGUGUUAUCUGCUCCUUUUAGAUGGUGAGUUUCUUGAAAGCUGGAACUCAACUUUCUCAGCUACUAUGGUUUGAGUGUUUUUGUGUCCUCCAAAAUUUAUGUUGAAAGUUAAUACACAGUGCAAUAGUAUUAAGAGGCAGGGCCUUUGGAGGUG